GGGGGAAGCCAGGACCUGACAUGAGGCAGGGCCUGGAGAAGGGGACAGGGGAACAGUAGCUGACUAAGUGAUGCCUGAUGUCUAAGGAUGAAGCAAGAAGCAUUAUGAUGCAGGCAGAGGCAGUGGCCUGUUCAGUGAGUUUCCAAGUAGAUGAUGGGAUUCCCACAAGGCAGAAACAUAGUGAUGCGAAUGAGGCAGCAUCUAGAAGGUUUGUCUGUGGCUGGGGUUCACUGGCAGAGCGCAGACCCUCGGAGAGGAGAGGGCGAGAAUGACAAAGUUACUCCUCCAGACCCAUGACCCAGGUUUCACCUGAGGGCUUACCGGUGUCCAAAGGACCAAUUCCAAAGGCUUGGAAGAUGCCCCCACUCCAUCCCAGGCCCCAAGCUAGCUACUUCUUCAGAGCAUGUUUCAUUCCUUUCAUGAGGUCAUUAUUGUCAUUCCCUCUGGCCAUCCCUGAUGCUGGCCUUGGAACCUGCCCAUAUUCUGUCCAAAGGCUUUUUCUUCCCUCACUGCUGGCGCCGGAACUCAGCCCACUCUUAGGAAGCAGACAUUGGAUUAUAACCAACAACUUUGACUAUGAUUCUUCAAAAGACAGAUUUCUCCCACAAAUGAUAUUUCCCUCUCAAAAAAAAAAAAAAAAAAAAAAAAAAAAGGCCAACUCACUACCUAGUCUCACCAAAAACACUACUGUGGAAAGCUUGAAUAACAGAGCCCAGACUUACCAUUUUCCUAAUAGGAUGACUCUGGACAGAGGUAGGAGGGAACCGAAUGAAAUGGGGAGCUAAUUUGCCAUCUAGAUGGCCUCCCUGCAAAUCAGAUGUCUCGAUCGCACUCUUGGCAAACGCUGAAGUGCAAUCAAUUCUUGGAUAAAUUCUCUGACAGGUGUUCAAAGCAAUGAUAUGCAGGGCUGUUGAUUAAAGAGUCAUCCACAUGUUUUAGAUGCCAGAUGUGCAGGCAGCAAAGUCAACAGUUAGUUGAGAAAAUGUAGGAGCCUGGCUGAUAUGUUCCCCAGAUGGACUGCAGGGACAUUGGCAAGUGAGCAAACUUUUUUUUUUUUUUUUAGGGGUUAGGUCAUAAGGCAUGAAAGAGAUCAUUCUGGCCUGCAAAAAUAGAAAGCACACUCAAAAAUCAUUUUAAAUCUGCUUGGAUCUCAAUCAGUUUAUUUUUAAAUGACCUACCCUUCCAUUUAAGGAAGUAAAUGUACACUGAAUGCCUACGAGGCUGGCUUUCAAUUUACUGCAAGAGACAGGCAUCUUAAGGGUAACCAUAAUAUAAAAUAAAAUUAUGUAUUGGCUGAUCCCCA
rnacentral:lncRNA from 12 species